UACGAAGGGUGCAAGCGUUACUCGGAAUUACUGGGCGUAAAGCGUGCGUAGGUGGUGAGUUAAGUCUGUCGUGAAAGCCCCGGGCUCAACCUGGGAAUGGCGAUGGAUACUGGCUCGCUAGAAUGCGGUAGAGGAGAGUGGAAUUCCCGGUGUAGCAGUGAAAUGCGUAGAGAUCGGGAGGAACAUCAGUUGCGGAAGGCGGCUCUCUGGACCAGCACUGACACUGAGGCACGGAAAAGCGUGGGGGAGCAAACAGG
rnacentral:rRNA from 1 species